rnacentral:rRNA from 1 species
CCUACGGGCGACAGCAGUGGGGAAUAUUGGGCAAUGGAGGAAACUCUGACCCAGCAAUGCCGCGUGAAUGAAGAAGGUCUUCGGAUUGUAAAGUUCUUUAGUCAGGGAAGAAGUCAAUGACGGUACCUGACCAAGAAGCCCCGGCUAACUACGUGCCAGCAGCCGCGGUAAUACGUAGGGGGCAAGCGUUAUCCGGAUUUACUGGGUGUAAAGGGGGCGCAGACGGCAAUGCAAGCCAGGAGUGAAAGCCCGGGGCCCAACCCCGGGACUGCUCUUGGAACUGCAUGGCUGGAGUACAGGAGGGGCAGGCGGAAUUCCUAGUGUAGCGGUGAAAUGCGUAGAUAUUAGGAGGAACACCGGUGGCGAAGGCGGCCUGCUGGACUGUGACUGACGUUGAGGCCCGAAGGCGUGGGGAGCAAACAGGAUUAGAUACCCCAGUAGUC